UACAGAGGUCUCAAGCGUUGGUCGGAUUCAUUGGGCGUAAAGGGUGCGUAGGUGGCGGGGCAAGUUUGGUGUGAAAUCCCGGGGCUCAACCCUGGAACUGCACUGAAUACUGCUUUGCUAGAGUACUGGAGAGGGAACUGGAAUUUACGGUGUAGCAGUGAAAUGCGUAGAUAUCGUAAGGAAGACCAGUGGCGAAGGCGAGUUCCUGGACAGUUACUGACACUGAGGCACGAAGGCCAGGGGAGCAAACGGG
rnacentral:rRNA from 1 species